UGGGGAAUCUUCCGCAAUGGACGAAAGUCUGACGGAGCAACGCCGCGUGAGUGAAGAAGGUUUUCGGAUCGUAAAACUCUGUCUUUUGGGGCGAACGUGAGUAUGGUGAACAAUCAUAGUCAGUGACGGUACCAAAGGAGGAAGCCACGGCUAACUACGUGCCAGCAGCCGCGGUAAUCGUAGGUGGCAAGCGUUGUCCGGAAUUAUUGGGCGUAAAGAGCGCGUAGGCGGGAUAGUCAGUCUGUUGUAAAAGUGCGGGGCUCAACCCCGUGAUGGCAAUGGAAACAGCUAUUCUUGAGUGCAGGAGAGGAAAGUGGAAUUCCCAGUGUAGCGGUGAAAUGCGUAGAUAUUGGGAGGAACACCAGUGGCGAAGGCGACUUUCUGGACUGUGUCUGACGCUGAGGCGCGAAAGCCAGGGGGAGCGAACGGGAUUAGAUACCCCCGGUAGUCCUGGCCGUAAACGAUGGGUACUAGGUGUGGGAGGUAUCGACCCCCUUCCGUGCCGGAGUUAACGCAAAUAAGUACCCCCGCCU
rnacentral:rRNA from 1 species